AACGCUAGCUACAGGCUUAACACAUGCAAGUCGAGGGGUAGCACGGAAGAAGCUUGCUUCUUUGGGUGACGACCGGCGCACGGGUGAGUAACGCGUAUCCGACCUACCCAUAACACGGGCACAGCCGCUCGAAAGAGUGAUUGAUUCCCGAUAUGUCUUGUGAGUAGAUUGCAAGAUGAAAGAUUCAUCGGUUAUGGAUGGGGAUGCGUAAGAUUAGGUAGUAGGCGGGGUAACGGCCCACCUAGCCUUCGAUCAUUAGGGGUUCUGAGAGGAAGGUCCCCCACACUGGAACUGAGACACGGUCCAGACUCCUACGGGAGGCAGCAGUGAGGAAUAUUGGUCAAUGGGCGAGAGCCUGAACCAGCCAAGUAGCGUGAAGGAUGACUGCCCUAUGGGUUGUAAACUUCUUUUGUUCGGGAAUAAAGUGCAGUACGCGUACUGUUUUGUAUGUACCGUUCGAAUAAGCAUCGGCUAAUUCCGUGCCAGCAGCCGCGGUAAUACGGAAGAUGCGAGCGUUAUCCGGAUUUAUUGGGUUUAAAGGGAGCGUAGGCGGCCUGUUAAGUCAGCGGUUAAAUGUCAGUGCCCAACAUUGGCAUGCCGUUGAUACUGGUGGGCUUGAAUACACACAAGGAUGGUGGAAUUCGUUGUGUAGCGGUGAAAUGCUUAGAUAUGACGAAGAACUCCGAUUGCGAAGGCAGCCAUCUGGGGUGCGAUUGACGCUGAGGCUCGAAAGUGCGGGGAUCAAACAGGAUUAGAUACCCUGGUAGUCCGCACCGUAAACGAUGGAUACUCGCUGCCGGCGAUAUACAGUCGGUGGCUUAGCGAAAGCGUUAAGUAUCCCACCUGGGGAGUACGCCGGCAACGGUGAAACUCAAAGGAAUUGACGGGGGCCCGCACAAGCGGAGGAACAUGUGGUUUAAUUCGAUGAUACGCGAGGAACCUUACCUGGGCUAGAACGGCAGAUUGCUUCUUGGGAGAGACCCCUUGAUUCUUCGGACAAUCUGUUGAGGUGCUGCAUGGUUGUCGUCAGCUCGUGCCGUGAGGUGUCGGCUUAAGUGC
rnacentral:rRNA from 1 species